GUGAUCUCGGGUGCUCCGGAAGGGUAAGCAGAUCCUGCUCCACAUGUGGCAUCCGUCGUGUUGCUUAUGUGAUAACAAAUCCGGUAAAUAGUCUAAUUCGGUAGGUCACAUUCAUGAAAGGGAAGGGGAUUGUAGUUACGACGUAAGGAACAUAUCCGAUAUCAUUUGUGAAACGGUUAUUCCAUAACGGUCAACCAACUCGUGAUGGCGUCCGUAAAAUUUACGAAGGGAUGAUUUCAACUUCACCAUUUGGAACUCUUGGUUUAAUAGCUUCCUUGUGAGCAGCAACCCUCUAUCAAGAAAAUCAUGAUAGGAAAUGCAAGCACGGGAAUAUCGUAUCAAUUGG
rnacentral:lncRNA from 1 species